GGGUUAUACGUUUCCCACCAAGCACCACGGCACCCUACCCCGGAAGCAAUUCUGGGCGUUGUAAUUAUCUGGUUUUUGCGACGCUAUACGCAGAUAUUGCCCGGGGCUAGACUACAAACGGUACUAUUAUUAAAGGAUUCUUACCUACGAACUUCUGGGGGGUGGAACGCUUGCGUUUGGUGAGGCUGUUGGCCAGCCGAUCAAUGAAGGUUGGCCGCUCAGAGGACGAGUGCAACAUGGAGUCUGGCACCAUCUCCAGAUCGAAUCCCUUUGUGAAGAGGGGGUAGAUGCUGGAAUCAUCCUGGUCCUGCACUCCCUCUGACCCAGCCCUCAACUCCCCCACAGGCCUGCCUACAGCCCUACCUGCUUGGCCAGCCAGAGCUUGGGCUUCAGUGCUGAGACUCUGUAGGUAGUUGUGGCACCGCUCUUUGUGCUCCUCCAGGGUACUCUGCUGUUUGUAGCUCCGGCCACAGUAGUUACACUUGUAGGGCUUGCCCACCGUGGGAGAGGAGACUGUGGAGGAGACGGGAGACGGAUGGCAUGAGUUACUUCUCCCUGUACCCUGGCUCUACAAAACCAUCCAGGAGCAAAGGCUCAUGGGCUUGAGGAGGAAGGGAUGUCGCUCAGAUUUUAUUUUUAAGUAAUCUGGGGCUAGAACUUACAGACCCAAGAUCAAGAGUCACAUGCUUCACCAGCUGAGCCAGCCAGGCGCCUCUACUGCUUAUUUUUCUGUCCCUCUACACUGAGAUACCAAGAGAGCCCCAGAACAACUAUCACUGAUAGAGAAAUUCCGAGAAGAGAAAAAGAAUAAAAGGACAGAGAGGAGAAUAAAGGAGAUGAGUAAAAGGAAGAGAAACAACAACUUUGAGGGCCUUUAAAAUUUUUUUAAAAAUAAAGAACAAGUUAUAAAGAUUUUUUUCUGGGGUGUCUGGCUGGCUUAGUUGGGAGAGCAUGCGACCCUUCAUCUCAGUGUUGUGAGUUCAAGCCCCAUGGUGACUGUACAGAUUACUUAAAGAAAAAAAAGAAGAUUUUGUUUCUACUGAAGAAGUCAGGAAAACUGAGAUGGACACUUCAUUUAAAGACAACUUUUGAGAGAUGAUAUUUGUGACAGGAGAAGGAAAGUGAGAGAAACAAGAGUUUCAGUAUCCUUGUCAGCAAAACAAGGAUAAUGCCAUCUACCUUAGAGUCGUUAUGAGGAUCACAUGAAAAGACAAGCAAAAUGCUUUGUGGAUUAUAAAGCCUGAAUCAACGAUGACCUUUCUCCCUGUUUCUCUACUCACCUCCAAGAUGAGAAGACUGAGGCACAAAAGAGGCUGUGUUACUUGUCCAAGGUGACAUAGCUGGUAGUGGUGGAACCCGGAUGGAACAUAAACAGUAAGCACUCAUGUCCUUAGCCACCCUCUACACAGCCAGUUGAGAGUCAUUGUUUCAGCAGAGGAGAGUUGGGCCCAUUAGAUCUUCUCUUCUGAAAUCAGUAAAAAUUUGACUACUCUAGAAAGCCUCCAAUCUGAUAUGAUUCCAAAUACCUAAAUACUACUUGAUGUUCCCUUGACAGUGACAUAAGUUUAUUCUCAAUAUAUUCAUUGUUAACUUGUUGAUAAAUUGCUUUGUAAAAAUGAGUUUUGAGAGUUUGGUUAUGUCUUUAAAAAUUAGUUAACAUAUCUGAAGAUAUGAAUCAUGUCUUUAAAAAAAAAAUCCCUCCUCCCCGCAAUCUUUUGCACAAAUUUAUAGGUAAAAAAAUCCACAAAAACAAACAAACAAAAAUAACAUACAAGUAGGUAAACAUACACAGAAACACAGACAUAUAUCACACAUGUAGAUACACAUAAAGAGAACAUACCUACGGGGGUAAACACACCCAUAGCCUUCUACAUUAUCUGCUAACAUGAACAUGCAUGGAUGCGUACACACAAGCCUAAAUAUGGAAGAGAGAGAGAGAGAGAGAGAGAGAGAGACAAACCCUAAAAUUCAUCCCUAAAGUCCACCUAUUAGUACUUUACCCAAUUUCCCAGCUAUGUACAUACUUACUUUCACAAAAUAAAGAUUCCAUUAUAAAAUGGUUGGAGUCUUGGGCCUGAGGCAAGAAAUCCGGAACACACCCUCCUGAGGGAUCCCUCUCCAGCUUGGUCAGUGGGAAGAAAACAACCACUCAGGACUUUGGGACCAUUUCCCAUUCAUAUCCUCUUCUAAAAGUCCCAUUUCCCCCAUUCUAUCCCAUCAAAGCCUGAAGAAAAUUUGUUCACUAUCUAUAGAAAAUGCCUUAUGGCAUUUUCAGUUUUCCCAGCUGGGGCUCUUUAGAUGAACCAUGGUUAUCUAGAAAAGUUGCCCAAGUCAGAACCACACGCAUAUCAUCAAAGCGAGCAUCUCAGGAGUUGUGGGUUGAGAUGUGUAGACUCAGACCCAGUUUUACAAUACGUCCUUUAACAGAGUGUAGGGUUUACUAUGGUUAAAAGGGCUAAAAGGAGUGUCUCCUUGUUCCUUUUCAGACAUUAGUGCUAACUUGCCCUAAAUCACUUGAUAUUUGUAAUGGGGGAAGAACUGAGCUCUGGGCCCUGGUACUGAGCCCUGGACCCUAAAACAAUGAGUGAACUUGCUGGAAAUCCAUCUCUAGUCCCAGCCUACUGGGCUUGAUAUAUGGGGAAAAUAUGCUUAAAGGAAUAUUUAGGGACAUUAAGAGGAAAAUAUCCUUUGUCCCUUCCUUAUUAAGGCCUGGGAACAGGAGGAAGAGUAGGUGCCUCCACAGUCACACCGUUAGUCUGAGUGGGUCUUAGAUGCCAUUGCCCUCCCUAGGAUAAAGGUAAGAGGGAAAACAGGUUCAAGUCUACUUUUGUGGCACUAAUACAUAAAAAUUAAUCUGUUUUAGGGGUCAGAAAGUCUUUAUGGGGACCCUGGGAUUUUGAGUUCUAGCCGGAGGGUGAAGGGGACUAGAGUCAGAUUUAGGAAGUUCAGCAGUUCCUCUGUCAGUCCCAGAAACCCCAGUGAGGGAACUUCAAAUGCCUGGGACUCCCAAGAAACCCCAGACUGUCAAAGCCAAGAAUUAAGGCCACUCUCAGGUCUCAGAUAAAUUUUCUUGGUCAAAGUCAUCAUAGAUUGGCUGAACCCCCAGAGGGCAAAGCCAAAUCAUGAGGUUGACAUCAGAGGAACAAGGAGGCGGGUAUGGGGCAGAAAAACAGGAGGGAGAGAGAGGAAAUGGGGCAAGGUCCCACCAGCUAAAUGUGUUUCACAUGCUGAAGGAGACAAGCCCUCCACUCCUGCUGCCCUUCCUCGAUCCCUUCAAAGAGUGGUUGCCUCUAGGGAACAGCCAUGAGGUCUAAGAACCUCCACACUUAUCAGCAAGGAAUCUUAUCCUAACUGCUUUCCCUGUCUUGACCAUGGGCUCCAGGGUGGCAGGAUGCUAGCCUGCUAGCCUGCUAGCAGGGAACAGUGGGUACAGGAGCAAAGAAAGACGCCCAUCCCCAGCUCUAUUGUGGGGAAGAGGCUGAGGGCCCUCGGAUCUCUCUGUUCGAGGCUGAGGCUUCUGCUGCCAAGGCUCCUCUUUACCUAGAUUCUAUUACCCAUUCCCACCCAGGCCUGUCUCGGCAUUUCACCCAGGGCAGCUCUACAUCUGUCCCCAAGGCCUAAUCAAGAUGUCACCACAAUCUCCCACUGUCCAAGUCGCAGUCUUUGCUUAGCAACACCAAACACCCUUCCCAUCCUCCGCAAGUGUAAGGAGGAACGCCCCCUCCCCCGCCACACACACACACACACACACACACACACACACACACACACACAGCCCCCAUCCUUUCCCUCUCCUCAGGCUUGGGAGUUGUUACUGAAUUGGCUCCCUAGCCCCGGCACCCCCCUUCCCCCUCCACUAGCCACCUUCUGCCUGAACUUACAUUAUCCUUCCCUUGCCGGUGAGACCCUGGGGUGCGAACGCGGCCGCCGCCUUGGAAACGGCGAGGGAGUGCGGGUGGUGUGUGCAUGUCUGCGUCUCGGUGGCAGGCAGGGGUGAGCCCAGCCACUCACCUUCCAGGAAGCGUGGAUUCCUGGAAGUGAGGGGAACCGCCGUCAUUUCGCAGGCAGCGGCACGGACCUGGGACCUGAAGUGUAGCCCGGUGGUUAUUAGCAAGACAGAACUUUUCACCUGCCUGGGAGUGAGCAGUUCAGGUACUGCAAGUAAACCAAACCCACAGCAUCAUCCUCUCCUGUCUGUACCUCCAUGAACUGAAUGAAAGCGACACAAAAACAUGUUGGAGUC